AUUGAACGCUGGCGGAAUGCUUUACACAUGCAAGUCGAACGGCAGCACGGACUUCGGUCUGGUGGCGAGUGGCGAACGGGUGAGUAAUGUAUCGGAACGUGCCCAGUCGUGGGGGAUAACGUAGUGAAAAUUACGCUAAUACCGCAUACGAUCUAUGGAUGAAAGCGGGGGAUCGCAAGACCGCGCGCGAUUGGAGCGGCCGAGAUCAGAUUAGGUAGUUGGUGGGGUAAAGGCCCAGCAAGCCAACGAUCUGUAGCUGGUCUGAGAGGACGACCAGCCAGACUGGAACUGAGACACGGUCCAGACUCCUACGGGAGGCAGCAGUGGGGAAUUUUGGACAAUGGGCGAAAGCCUGAUCCAGCCAUGCCGCGCGCAGGAUGAAGGCCCUCGGGUUGUAAACUGCUUUUGUACAGAACGAAAAGGUUUCUACUAAUACUAGGAGCUCAUGACGGUACUGUAAGAAUAAGCACCGGCUAACUACGUGCCAGCAGCCGCGGUAA
rnacentral:rRNA from 1 species